UACGUAGGGCGCAAGCGUUGUCCGGAAUUAUUGGGCGUAAAGAGCUCGUAGGCGGUCUGUCGCGUCGGCUGUGAAAACUCGGGGCUCAACUCCGAGCUUGCAGUCGAUACGGGCAGGCUAGAGUUCGGCAGGGGAGACUGGAAUUCCUGGUGUAGCGGUGAAAUGCGCAGAUAUCAGGAGGAACACCGGUGGCGAAGGCGGGUCUCUGGGCCGAUACUGACGUGGAGGAGCGAA
rnacentral:rRNA from 1 species